rnacentral:misc_RNA from 1 species
AACGCACAUUGCGCCCCUCGGUAUUCCGGGGGGCAUGCCUGUUCGAGCGUCAUUGCACCCCUCAAGCUCUGCUUGGUAUUGGGCCUCGCCCCCUGGGCGUGACCCGAAAGUCAGUGGCGGCCGGCGUGACUUCGAGCGUAGUAAAUUUUCUCCCGCUUCGAACGUUCGCGCCGGGACCGGCCAAAACCCCGAUUUAUUUCGAACGAUUGACCUCGGAUCAGGUAGGGAUACCCGCUGAACUUAA